rnacentral:rRNA from 1 species
AGAAUCAACGCUGGCGGCGUGCCUAACACAUGCAAGUCGAACGCUUCCGGGGCUUCGGUCGCGGAGGAGUGGCGCACGGGUGAGUAGCGCGUGGGAACCUGCCCUGUUGUGGGGGAUAACCGAGGGAAACUUCGGCUAAUACCGCAUACGCCCCGGGACUUGGUCUUCGGAUUAGGUCUGGGGGGAAAGAUUGAUCGCAGCAGGAGGGGCCCGCGUCGGAUUAGCUGGUUGGUGGGGUAACGGCUCACCAAGGCGAUGAUCCGUAGCUGGUCUGAGAGGAUGAUCAGCCACACUGGGACUGAGACACGGCCCAGACUCCUACGGGAGGCAGCAGUGGGGAAUAUUGGACAAUGGGGGCAACCCUGAUCCAGCAAUGCCGCGUGAGUGAUGAAGGCCUUAGGGUUGUAAAGCUCUUUCGCCCGCGACGAUGAUGACGGUAGCGGGAGAAGAAGCCCCGGCUAACUUCGUGCCAGCAGCCGC